rnacentral:rRNA from 1 species
UUGAUCCGAAGAUUUCCGAAUGGGACAACCCGGCAUUCUGAAGGAAUGUCAUCCAACCUGGUUGGAGGCUAACGCAGGGAACUGAAACAUCUUAGUACCUGCAGGAAAAGAAAAUAAACAAUGAUUCCCCCAGUAGUGGCGAGCGAACGGGGAACAGCCCAAACCAUCCAUGUUACGGCAUGGGUGGGGUUGUAGGACUACGCCGUUGCAUGAAGACAUCAGAGAAGAACUUUCUGGAAAGAAAGACCAUAGAGCAUGACAGUUGCGUAUUCGAAUGUUGUCGAAGCAUAGUAGUAUCCUGAGUAGCGCGGAGCACGAGGAAUUCUGCGUGAAUCUGCCGGGACCAUCCGGUAAGGCUAAAUACUCCCGAGAGACCGAUAGCGAACCAGUACCGUGAGGGAAAGGUGAAAAGCACUUCGAACAGAAGAGUGAAAUAGUUCCUGAAACCGUGCGCCUACAAGCGGUCGGAGCUCGUUAAUGAGUGACGGCGUGCCUUUUGCAUAAUGAACCUACGAGUUGCCUUUGCCGGCAAGGUUAAGUGUGACGACACACGUAUCCGAAGCGAAAGCGAGUCUGAACAGGGCGUAUAGUCGGCAGUGGCAGACGCGAAACCAAGUGAUCUACCCUUGGCCAGGUUGAAGGCUGGGUAACACCAGCUGGAGGACCGCACCAAUAAGCGUUGAAAAGCUUCUGGAUGAGCUGAGGGUAGGGGUGAAAGGCUAAUCAAACUUGGAGAUAGCUCGUACUCCCCGAAAUGCAUUUAGGUGCAGCCUUGCGGGUUACUGAUGUGAGGUAGAGCGACUGAUAAGAUGCGAGGGCUUCACCGCCUAUCAAGUCUUGACAAACUCCGAAUGCGUGUCAGUUCUAUGUCAGGAGUGAGGGCAUGGGUGCUAAGGUCCAUGUCCUAAAGGAGAACAAUCCGGACCAACAGCUAAGGUCCCGAAAUGAAUACUAAGUUGAACUAACGAAGUCAGAUUGCUAAGACAGCUAGGAUGUUGGCUUGGAAGCAGCCAUUCAUUUAAAGAGUGCGUAACAGCUCACUAGUCGAGGAGUUUGGCGUGGAUAAUAAUCGGGCAUUAAGUAUUCUACCGAAGCUUUGGGAUGUUUAAACAUCGGUAGGGGAGCAUUCCACUCAGCGUUGAAGGUGAGGCGUGAGCCUUGCUGGAGCGUGUGGAAAAGCAAAUGUAGGUAUAAGUAACGAUAAAGGGGGUGGGAAACCCCCUCGCCGAAAGACUAAGGUUUCCUGAUCAACGCUAAUCGGAUCAGGGUCAGUCGGGUCCUAAGGCUCAGCCGAACGGCGAUGCCGAUGGCAGAAACGGUUAAUAUUCCGUUACUACCUUCAGGAGUGACGUGGAGACGCAGUAGUGACAGUGCCGCCAUCUGACGGAAUAGAUGGUUGAAGGGUGUAGGAGUCGAUCAUGGCAGGCAAAUCCACCAUGAGAUCCGAACCUGAUAGUAUGCCGCGUCCUUCGGGACAAGGCAAUAGUGCGCGUAAGCAUGCUGCCGAGAAAAUCCGCUAAACUUAAUCCUGCAGGUACCCGUACCGCAAACGGACACACGUAGUCGGGAUGAAUAUACUAAGGCGCUUGAGUGAUUCACGGUUAAGGAACUAGGCAAACUGACCCUGUAACUUCGGGAUAAAGGGUCCUCAGGGUGACUUGAGGCGCAGAGAAUCGGUCCAGGCAACUGUUUAACAAAAACACAGGGCUGUGCAAAAUAGAAAUAUGAAGUAUACAGCCUGACACCUGCCCGGUGCUGGAAGGUUAAGAGGAGAUGUCAUCGCAAGAGAAGCAUUGAAUUGAAGCCCCAGUAAACGGCGGCCGUAACUAUAACGGUCCUAAGGUAGCGAAAUUCCUUGUCGGGUAAGUUCCGACCUGCACGAAUGGUGUAAUGAUCUGGACACUGUCUCAACCGUGAGCUCAGUGAAAUUGUAGUAUCGGUGAAGAUGCCGAUUACCCGCGAUGGGACGAAAAGACCCCGUGAACCUUUACUAUAGCUUAUCAUUGAAUCUGGGCACGUGAUGUGUAGGAUAGGUCGGAGGCUUUGAAGCAGGUACGCCAGUAUUUGUGGAGCCGCUGUUGAAAUACGACCCUUUAUUUGUUUGGAUUCUAACCCGUGGAUACGGGGACAUUGAUUGGUGGGUAGUUUGACUGGGGUGGUCGCCUCCAAAAGCGUAACGGAGGCUUCUAAAGGUGCCCUCCGGCCGAUUGGUAACCGGCCUUAGAGUGUAAUGGCAUAAGGGCGCUUGACUGGGAGACUGACAAGUCGAUCAGGUAGGAAACUAGAGCAUAGUGAUCCGGUGUUUCCGUAUGGAA